CAAUAAAAUGGUUUUGAGUAUCUUAUCUUGUAAGGGUUUCUUUUAUGGAUUUUAAAUUUGAUUAUGGUUUGUUAAUGGUUAAAAUGUUAUUAUUUAAAUUUAAUUUAUUGAGUGGGCAAUAUUAUUUUACCCCGGCAAUUAAUUAUUUGUAUAAUAUUAGUUCCAGAAUAAUCGGCUAUGCUAAUGAAAUUUAAUCUUUAUUUUUGUUGGGGCAUGAAGUUUUUUUGUUGGUUUUACGAAUUUUAGGUAAAAUUAAAAUUUAUAUUUAAAGAUUUUUAUGUCAUUAAGAUUUUUGAAGGCGAAUUAGAUUAGUACCUAAUUAGUGAAAAGUUAAAUAUUCAGGAGUAAAGUGGUAUUUAAACUGAAAGAAUAUUGGCAGAUUUUCUAAAUUAUCUUUGGAGGUUGAGUGAUAAUUGAGAACCCUCAUUAACUACUUGGUUUUUUGGCUUAUGUAUGAUCGUUUAUUUUAAGCUUAAGGUUUAGGAUUUUAGGUUUUGACUGUAAAAAUAGAUAUAUAUUUAGUUUAUGAUUAAGUUAAUUUGACCUACAAUAUUUUGAAUUGUGUGGAUUAUUAAGUUAGUAUUAGUAUGAAAUUGUAAAAGACAGUAAGAAAGUUUUUAUAUCUUUUUGAAGAGUAUUUAGAAAUGGUACAAAUCAUCCAUCAAUUGUCCACAGGGGAGUAAGUUGUAGUAAAGUAGAUUUAGGGGAACCUGAAUCUAAUAUU
rnacentral:ncRNA from 1 species